rnacentral:rRNA from 1 species
AGCAGUCGCCGCGGGAAUACAGAGGGUGCGAGCGUUAAUCGGAUUUACUGGGCGUAAAGCGUGCGUAGGCGGCUUCUUAAGUCGGAUGUGAAAUCCCUGAGCUUAACUCGGAAACUGCCUUGGAUACUAUAGGUCUUGAAUCUCGUUGAGGUUUGCGGAAUAUGUCAUGUAGCGGUGAAAUGCUUAGAUAUGACAUAGAACACCUAUUGCGAAGGCAGCAGGCUAAACGAGUAUUGACGCUGAUGCACGAAAGCGUGGGGAUCAAACAGGAUUAGAUACCCCCGUAGUCCCUGUCUCUUAUAC